GGAACUGGAAAUUCCAAUGCGCUUUCGCUGUCCUUGAGUUUUGAAUCGUCCCUUCAAUCUGUCAACAAAAGUUGGACCAGCCUCAACGAAGUCAAAAGUAUCUGUGCAAUCAAGGAAGGAAAGAAGGACUGUUUCGCAACCACCAUUGGCUCUACAAAAGGUUUCAAAGCUUCCAGGUUUGGCUGGUUUUUUGAGUCAUGCCCUGGCUGCAGAGCUUCCAACAAGUCACAAGGUGAAACUUUUGAAUGUGCAUGCGGAAUUACCAAUGUCGAACCCGUAACCAAAUUCAAAGUUGAAGUUGAGCUUGAGUAUGAUAACUACAAAGGUACCUUUGUUUUUUGGGACAAGGACGUUAUCCCUUACACGAAAUUGAGUGCAAAGGAGUUACAAGAAGUUAUGAAGAAGCAAUAACAGUCUGCACAGAAACGAUCAUAUCUGGAGUUCCAGGAGUCCGAUUGAGGCGUUCUAAUAAUCGCCGGAAAGCUAAGAGAAAGAGCUACAAUUCUUAUGUUUGAGUCAAAGUCAGAAUCGGACUGUAGAAGGGCCAGAAUAUGCGUUGAAGUUGCUGCACUAGCUUUAGUUAAGUUUCGGGUUAAUUGGUUUUGGGUCUGGGUCGUAUGUUUGACCCAGUUGGAUUGUAAAACGGGUUGUGGCUUUGACUUAGGUUAGGCAGCCGCGGUUACUGUUCAUCUAUCAUGUUGUGAAAAACGAUACCAAUAACAAAGUAUAAUAGGGAAU